GUGAGCUGAUCCCAAUGAGUAUGUCUGUGUGGGGAGGACUUCAACUUGUUGUUAACUUUAAUAGUGGUGUUUUAUUCCAAAUCUGGCAAUGAUUCUUUGUCAUGAUUCUGAUUUGUUUUAAGUGGGUUUGAUGCCUCCUCUGGAUUCACCAGGUAUGACUGGGUACAAUCCCUUUAUGUGAGAGUGCUGAUCAAUCAAUCUUUUUCUACAUUUGGCCGUUUUCUUUACUGUUUUGAAUUCAGGACCUUAUAGUCGUCGUUUAAACCAGGAAACCAUGUAUCUUCCUACAUUUUCAGGAGCAUUAGGAGAGAAUACAGUGCCUGUAUGUAGUCAUUGUGUAGUCUAUAUGUAGUCAUUGUGUAGUCUGUAUGUAGUCAUUGUGUAGUCUGUAUGUAGUCAUUGUGUAGUCUGUAUGUAGUCAUUGUGUAUCAUAGUCUGUAUCGGAAGGUUGGGUCUCUGGUCUUCCCAGAAUGUCUACUGUAGCGUGGGGUCUCCCAUGUAGUGUGGGGUCUCACAUGUAGCGUGGGGUCUCACAUGUAGCGUGGGGUCUCACAUGUAGCGUGGGGUCUCACAUGUUUACUGUAGCGUGGGGUCUCACAUGUUUACUGUAGUGUGGGGUCUCACAUGUAGCGUGGGGUCUCACAUGUUUACUGUAGCGUGGGGUCUCACAUGUAGCGUGGGGUCUCACAUGUAGCGUGGGGUCUCACAUGUUUACUGUAGCGUGGGGUCUCACAUGUAGUGUGGGGUCUCACAUGUUUACUGUAGCGUGGGGUCUCACAUGUAGCGUGGGGUCUCACAUGUUUACUGUAGCGUGGGGUCUCACAUGUAGCGUGGGGUCUCACAUGUAGCGUGGGGUCUCACAUGUUUACUGUAGCGUGGGGUCUCACAUGUAGCGUGGGGUCUCACAUGUAGUGUGGGGUCUCACAUGUCUACUGUAGCGUGGGGUCUCACAUGUAGCGUGGGGUCUCACAUGUAGCGUGGGGUCUCACAUGUAGCGUGGGGUCUCACAUGUCUACUGUGGCGUGGGGUCUCACAUGUUUACUGUGGUGUGGGGUCUCACAUGUUUACUGUAGCGUGGGGUCUCACAUGUAGCGUGGGGUCUCACAUGUUUACUGUAGCAUGGGGUCUCACAUGUAGCGUGGGGUCUCACAUGUAGCGUGGGGUCUCACAUGUAGCGUGGGGUCUCACAUGUCUACUGUAGUGUGGGGUCUCACAUGUUUACUGUGGCGUGGGGUCUCACAUGUAGCGUGGGGUCUCACAUGUUUACUGUGGCGUGGGGUCUCACAUGUUUACUGUAGCGUGGGGUCUCACAUGUUUACUGUGGCGUGGGGUCUCACAUGUAGCGUGGGGUCUCACAUGUCUACUGUGGCGUGGGGUCUCACAUGUUUACUGUAGUGUGGGGUCUCACAUGUAGCGUGGGGUCUCACAUGUUUACUGUAGCGUGGGGUCUCACAUGUUUACUGUGGCGUGGGGUCUCACAUGUUUACUGUAGCGUGGGGUCUCACAUGUUUACUGUGGCGUGGGGUCUCACAUGUAGCGUGGGGUCUCACAUGUUUACUGUGGCGUGGGGUCUCACAUGUUUACUGUAGCGUGGGGUCUCACAUGUUUACUGUAGCGUGGGGUCUCACAUGUAGCGUGGGGUCUCACAUGUUUACUGUAGUGUGGGGUCUCACAUGUUUACUGUGGCGUGGGGUCUCACAUGUUUACUGUAGUGUGGGGUCUCACAUGUUUACUGUGGCGUGGGGUCUCACAUGUUUACUGUAGUGUGGGGUCUCACAUGUCCAGUGUUUACAAACAGUCUGGAGGAGUAGGGGAAUGGAAGAGAGAGGAGCAAAGGAAGAGAACUUACGCUGACAGAGAGAGAGGAGGAAGGGAGAGAGAGAUAGAGAGGAGGAGGGUAGAGAGCGAUAGAGGAGGUGAGAGAGAGAAAGAGAGAGGUGGAGGGGAGAGAUAGAUAGAGAGGAGGGGAGAGAGAGAGAGAGAAGAGGAGGGUAGAGAGAGAGAGGUGGAAAGGAGAGAGAGAUAGAGGAGGAGGAGAGAGAGAGAGAGAUAGUGAGGAGGAGGGAAGAGAAAGAGAGGAGUGAGAGAGAGAGAGAGGAGAAAAGAGAGAGAUGGAGAGGAGGAGGGAAGAGAGAGAGAGAGGAGGAUGGGAGAGAGAGAGGAGGGGAGAGAGAGAGAGGAGGAGGGGAGAGAGGAAGGAGAGAGAGAGGAGGAAGGGAGAGAGAGAGGAGGAAGGGAGAGAGAGAGAGGAGGAAGGGAGAGAGAGAGAGAGAGAGAGAGUAGGAGGACCUUAGGCUCUGUGUGUCUGUGUGGUGAACGUGUUUGUUUGAUUGUGAUCCCACAGACUUGGGUGUUUGAAAUCAAGAGCGGCUUUAGAUUUAUGAGCUGAUGACAGCUCUCUGGCUAACAGCGCACAGAUGGGAGGAGGAGGAGGAGGAGAAGAGGGAGGAGGAGGAGGAGGUGGUGGAGAGAAAGGAGUUAGGAGUUGCUUAAUAUCAUCAAGAGCCAGCAUGACUUGAAUGGUUUAUGGGUUUCCUGUUUAUCUGGACACUGCGUUCUGCAAGGAAGGCUGAAGGCAUGGUUCAAAUCCCCCCCCCCCCCCAUAGCUCAGGCACUGUGCAAUACCCACGAGUUUGGGGUGUGUGUGUAUUUGGGUGUGUGUAUGUGUGUGUGGUGAAUGUGGUUGUGCAUAAUUGGGGAUCUUGAUGUGUGUGUGUACACAUGUGUUGUGUGUUUGUGUUUAUUUCCUGUCUUGAGUCCCUGUGCGCUUCACCAUGAACAGUAAGAGUUUAUGUGCUGUGAUGUGUACUCUGUGUGUGUCGGCACAUGAACUCUUGCAGUGCAGGGAGGAGUCGCCCCUGAGGGAGUGUGAGCGUGUGCGAAGAGUGUGUGUGCAUGUGGAUGAGUGUGUGUGUGUGUGUGUGUGUGAAGAGUGUGUGUGCAUGUGUGUGUGUGAAGAGUGUGGACACAUGUGUGAGGGAUGUUUCUGCUGCAUCUCUCUCUCUCUCUCUCUCUCUCUUUCACAGUCUUUAUCUAAAGCUUCUCUCCAUAUUCCCUUUUUCCUCCUGUCCUCCAGCUCCUCUCCUCUUCUCAGUCUGUCUCUCCCAUAGAUAAAAGUCCCAGACAAAAACUGAGCUUCCACAUCAGAGUGUGUGUGUGUGUUGGAGCGAAGGAGAGACUUUAUUGAUAUAUGGUCUACACGUCUCCCAAAUAAAACCACAUAUUGCACCAAACCUGAAGUUUUAGUUUUUCAAGUUUUCAUUCUGUAACAUUUUCUGCAUCAUUAAAGAUUAAUACGUUAACUUGAACAAACAGGACACAUGACUUUUCUUUUCUUGGCUUGAGUUUUUUCACAGUUUUUUUUUUUGAUAAGGUUUGUGUUUGUGUGUAGUAACUAAGCCACCUUAUGAAAAUUUAAGUUGUAAACUUUUACUGACCUCUAGGUGGCAGCAUAGGCUUUCAGAUUAUCAUGAGACACGGCAAGGCAGACGGAACUAAAAGAGGCACAGAGGAGAUGUGAGCCGCCACUUAAUAAACCUGACCCCUGACCCUGACUCAAUCCUACAGGCCCCAACGCCAGAGCUGACCAACCGGCCUCUGCAGCAAAGACCCCUGUCUUCAGACUGGACAGUGUUCCCCAAAAGCAUUGAUGUAAGAAGCCAUGGGCACUAAAAGAUAGUUUAAAAAAAUCAGUCUGUCAUGUUGCACUUUUAGUGAUGAUCACAGCACAACAAAGCCUUUGGGAUAUGGAGUACUGGACUGGACUAUACUGCCUGCUCAGAAUGCAGGGUUUUCCAGUAGAGCUCUGUGCCAAGGAUGAAUAGCUUUACCUUCAGUUGGUCUUUUUCGUCAUAGCUAAAUAGACUGAUAUCCAAGUGCACUCAUUAGUCAGAGCUGUAGGUACAGGAGGUAAACAGGGACCCCUCUGGGACUGCGUAUGGCGCCCUCAGGCUGCACGCGCUCACAGAAACUACUCAAGCCUUUAAAUAUUAUAGAUCAGUGAUGGUAAGAGUUUUCUUCACUUGGCUUUCAAAGAUCUUCACACCCCUCUGUUCAGCGUGUGUUGCACACAAGAAUCAUUGGCACAUUUGGUUUGUUGUCAUGUAAAGCCAUGUGACUGAUCUAUAGCAUUGUCAUGUAAAGCCCUGUGACUGAUUUAUAGCUAUAGCAUUGUCAUGUGAAAGUUUGUGACUGAUCUAUAGCAUUGUCAUGUGAAGGUCUGUGACUCAUCUAUAGCAUUGUCAUGUGAAGGUCUGUGACUCUUCAUAGCAUUGUCAUGUGAAGGUCUGUGACUCUUCAUAGCAUUGUCAUGUGAAGGUCUGUGACUCAUCUAUAGCAUUGUCAUGUGAAGCCAUCUGACUGAUCUGAUCUAUAGAAUGUGAAGCCAUGUGACUGAAGGCCGACACCCACUGGAACUGUCUCUGGGGGGUUGGCCUUGAGGUGUUCCAGAAUGUGACAUCACACACUUCCCUAUAAUCAUUGGAAAGGUACAACAGGAGACGGUUUUAUCUCUCUUUUUGAUCUAGGACCGUCUCAGGCCUGGCAUCGACGUGCAAGGGUUUCAGGUGUGUAGGCAUUGUAUUGCAAGGAUUUCAAACAUUCCCUGUUUUGAAAUAUCGGAGAACACAAAACUCAAACAUCAGCAGGGGCAUUUCUAGAUAUUUAUUUGAUGAACUUUUACAUAUUUACAAGAGAAGACUUGAUUCACUACACAUGAUUUGUACAUCAUGUUCAUCAUCAUUUUAACAUCAGUAAAAGUGCAACCAUCUCUCUUCUUGCACCAAAGCCAAGACUUUGUGAACAACUUUCUGUAGUAGUUGAAGAGCAAAGUGUGGCGUAAAACAGCUGCAAUAAGCAAUAUCACAGCUUCCCCUUAAAAGACCAGGCUAAAAUGGUUAUUAAAGAGAAUAAAAUAUGGCAGCAAACUACUCAUAGCAUAUUAUGUUUUUUGUUUUUUUUCGAUGCCACAGUUGGUUUCUCAAGACUAACCAAUCUUACAGCCAAGCAUUAUCACUGUCCAGAUUAGACAAAGUAUGGUAGUUUGGUCUGCGUGGAUGAUAAUUUGAUUUAUUUUGCCCACACUAACAGUCCUCAACAGAAGGGAUCCCUUGUUAGGAUGGAAAGUGUAGUUGCUGUGACAUAAAGGAGAGGCCAUGUUCUCAUCCAUGUAAAGAUGGCUAUGCAUUGCUAAGCCUCUCAGAGGUUUGGGGCGAGCUGAGAUUAAUCAAAGAGAGUUCAUCAAACAGACUACUCGUGUUUCCUUGAGUGCUUUCGAGCGUUGUGGUGCUGAGAGACGGCAGGAAACGGGUUCGUUACGACCCGUCUGAGACCCGUUCAUGCUCCAACUUAAAAGGAACUUCUCUGAGCUGCAAGCUCCAAGCUUACGACAAGCUUACGACAGAUUUCUUUCUCUAUGUAACACUCAUAUCAAGACAUCAUAUAGCUAUCCUUUAUCGGAAACCUCUAUAAAUGUAAAUGUAAAGAAGGUAUAGAUAAUUGGGUUUUUCAUUCAGAUUUAUUUUGCCAUGCUGUGUGUUUCUUUGCAGUCUGUGAAAAGACAACUUGUCUUAGGCAAAGGGGUUCGAGCGAUGAUGAGUGAACGGAGGAGAUGUGUGAGAAUGCUGUGCUGGGCUGGGGGUUGCUGCCUCCCCGUGCCUCUCUCACGACCUACUUCCAGCACUGUCAGCUGGUGCCGCAUCAUCUGUGUUCUGCGUGUUUCUAUGGUGACGACCGUCGGUUGUUGUGGGACAGAGCACUCCCUGCGGGACGUUCCUCGCACCUCAGGAGUUCCAUUUUUCUGCUGGGCCACUACUGUUGCUGUGGCAACAGCCCCCCUGACGACCAUGGCUGUAGACUGUUACCACGUGCUGUUGGUACAGUAACAAUCUAAAGCCACGGUCACCAUGGAGACAGCGGUGAAAGAGGAGAAGGAGUUGGCAUGGCAACUGGAUGCAGGCAGGGCUCUUAUUGGCUGCUGGGAGGCGAGACCAGGCCCUCUAGCUCAGGAAUCCCCCAAUGCAGGCGCAGAGACGUCUUGAUGGCAUGGCUGAACACGUUGUCCUCGACUCUCACUACGUCUGCUCGUGACUGCGUCGGCAUGAG
ensembl:lncRNA